rnacentral:rRNA from 1 species
GGUGUGCUGGGUAUGGAGUGUGGUGGAGUGAGCGUAUUAACAGGGGUGACGCAGGAAGGUAGCCAAACCGUCGCGAUGGUUGUCGACGGCCAAGGAUGUAGCCCGAGUCUUAGGUAAAUCCGGGAUUCGUUAUAUGGGUGAGAUCUGAUGGGGUUAAGUUGGUGAUCCUCUGCUGCCUAGAAAAACCUCGGCGCGAGGUGUGAGCCGCCCGUACCCUAAACCGACUCAGGUGAUCAGGUAGAGAAUACUAAGGCGAUCGAGAUAAUUAUGGUUAAGGAACUCGGCAAAAUGCCCUCGUAACUUCGGGAGAAGGGGGGCCCCGACCGUGAACACCCGUGCGGUGGUAAGCGGGUAGGGGUCGCAGAGACCAGGGAGAAGCGACUGUUUACUAAAAACACAGGUCCGUGCGAAGACGCAAGUCGAUGUAUACGGACUGACGCCUGCCCGGUGCUGGAAGGUUAAGAGGACUGGUUAACCACUUUGGUGGUGAAGCUGAGAAUUUAAGCCCCAGUAAACGGCGGUGGUAACUAUAACCAUCCUAAGGUAGCGAAAUUCCUUGUCGGGUAAGUUCCGACCUGCACGAAUGGCGUAACGACUUCUCCGCUGUCUCAACCAUAAACUCGGCGAAAUUGCAGUACGAGUAAAGAUGCUCGUUACGCGCAGCAGGACGGAAAGACCCCGGGACCUUUACUAUAGCUUGGUAUUGGUGUUCGGUAUUGCAUGUGUAGGAUAGGUGGGAGACUGUGAAGCAUGCACGCUAGUGUGUGUGGAGUCAUCGUUGAAAUACCACUCUUGCGGUUUCGGAUACCUGAACCUCGGACCCUGAUCGGGUCCAGGGACAGUGCCUGGUGGGUAGUUUAACUGGGGCGGUUGCCUCCUAAAAUGUAACGGAGGCGCUCAAAGGUUCCCUCAGCCUGGUUGGCAAUCAGGUGGCGAGUGUAAGUGCACAAGGGAGCUUGACUGUGAGACUGACAGGUCGAACAGGGACGAAAGUCGGAACUAGUGAUCCGGCCAUGGCUUGUGGAAGCGUGGUCGCUCAACGGAUAAAAGGUACCCCGGGGAUAACAGGCUGAUCUUGCCCAAGAGUCCAUAUCGACGGCAUGGUUUGGCACCUCGAUGUCGGCUCGUCGCAUCCUGGGGCUGGAGUAGGUCCCAAGGGUUGGGCUGUUCGCCCAUUAAAGCGGUACGCGAGCUGGGUUUAGAACGUCGUGAGACAGUUCGGUCCCUAUCCGCUGCGCGCGUAGGAAACUUGAAAAGGCCUGUCCCUAGUACGAGAGGACCGGGACGGACGAACCUCUGGUGUGCCAGUUGUACCGCCAGGUGCAUGGCUGGUUGGCUACGUUCGGAAGGGAUAACCGCUGAAAGCAUCUAAGCGGGAAGCCUGCUUUAAGAUGAGGUUUCCAUCAACUUUUGUUGUGGAGGCGCCCAAGAGAUUAUUGGGUUGAUAGGCCGGGUGUGGACGCGAGGACUAACGACUCGUGGAGCUGACCGGUACUAAUAUGCCAACAACUUAAACAU